UUCGACGAGUUCAACAGACUCCCAAACCCCCUGUGAACAUAUACCAUUGCCGUUGCUUCGGCGGGAUCACGCCCUGGAGUCUGACUUCGGGCGCCCGCCGGGGGCCCAAAACUCUUGUACUGUUUUCUUUUUCGGCAUGUCUGAGUGGAAUCACACACAAUGAAUCA
rnacentral:misc_RNA from 1 species